GAUGAACGCUGGCGGCGUGCCUAAUACAUGCAAGUCGAGCGCACGGACGAUAAGCUUGCUUCUCUGAUGUUAGCGUCGGACGGGUGAGUAACACGUGGAUAACCUACCUAUCAGACUGGGAUCACUUCGUGAAUCCGGAGCUAAUACCGUAUAAUAUCUUGAACCUCAUGGUUCAAAAGUGAAUGACGGUAUUGCUGUCUCUUAUCGAUGGAUCCGCGCUGCAUUAUCUAGUUGGUAAGAUAACGGCUUACGAAGGGAAUAAUGCAUGGCCGACCUGAGAGGGGGACCGGCAAAACGGGACCUGGACAACGGCCCGGACUCCUACGGGAGGCAGCAGUAGGGAUUCUUCGGCAAUGGGGGAAGGCCUGACGGAGCAACGCCGAGUGGGUGAUGAAGGUCUUCGGAUCGUAAAACUCUCUUAUUAGGGAAGAACAGAUGUGUAAGGGACUGUGCACACCGUGACGGUACCUAAUCAGAAAGCCACGGCUAACUACGUG
rnacentral:rRNA from 1 species